AACGCGAAGAACCUUACCAGCUCUUGACAUGCCCGGUAUGGGCGGGAGAGAUCCCGUCCUUCGGUUCGGCCGGCCGGGACACAGGUGCUGCAUGGCUGUCGUCAGCUCGUGUCGUGAGAUGUUGGGUUAAGUCCCGCAACGAGCGCAACCCCAUCUGCAGUUGCCAGCGGUUUGGCCGGGCACUCUGCAGAAACUGCCGGUGACAAGCCGGAGGAAGGCGGGGAUGACGUCAAGUCUUCAUGGCCCUUACGGCCUGGGCUACACACGUGCUACAAUGGCGGUGACAAUGGGGAGCUAACCCGCAAGGGCAUGCAAAUCCCAAAAAGCCGUCUCAGUUCGGAUUGCACUCUGCAACUCGAGUGCAUGAAGCUGGAAUCGCUAGUAAUCGUAGAUCAGCAUGCUACGGUGAAUACGUUCCCGGGCCUUGUACACACCGAGACGUA
rnacentral:rRNA from 1 species